rnacentral:rRNA from 1 species
CAUGUCUUUUUGAAAAUAAUUCAAAGUCUAAUCUGCCCACUGAAUUUUUGAAGGGCCGCAGUAAUUUGACUGUGCAAAGGUAGCAUAAUCAUUUGUCUUUUAAAUGGAGGCUUGUAUGAAUGAUUGGACGAGGUGCAAACUGUCUCAGUGUUAAAAUGAUAAGAAUUUAGCUUUUUAGUAAAAAGGCUAAAAUUUUUUUGGAGGACAAGAAGACCCUAUAGAUCUUUAUAUUAAUUAUUAGUUAUUUAAUUAGGAUUGAAAUAAUUUAAUUAAUAAAUUUAAUAUUUUGUUGGGGUGACAGGAAAAUUGAAUUAACUUUUUUUAAUAAAAUAAACAUGAAUUAAUGAAUACUUGAUCCAUUUAUGAUGAUUAUAAGAACAAGUUACCUUAGGGAUAACAGCGUAAUUUUAUUGGAGAGUUCUAAUCGAUGAUAGAGUUUGCGACCUC